GAAAAUCAUGGGAACUUUUAAACUACAGAUUGGCCACCAGGUCUGGAAACAUCAAUGUUAUUUUAUUUUAUCACACAGCAAAAGAAUUUGUUCAGUUACUGGUGCAUUGUUACUGGUUCAGUAAUAAGAAAUUCAGAGGCGAGUGGAAGGGUACAGGACGUGCCCAGGUCAUGGACAGGUAGGACGCCUUCCUUUAUGAAACUGGAGCAUUGGUGGGUUUUAGAAUCCUCAGGGAUUCCUGGAAGCAGUCCCCUGUGGACACCCAGGGACAGCUGUAUUUUUUUCAUCUUAAAAAUUGUAAAUAAAUUCUCUUGCUACCAAUAAUUUCUGUAGUGAGGGUAGUGAGUGUGUGUGCGCGUGUGUGUGUGUGUUGAGACAGCAUCUUCCUGUGUAGUUCUGGCUGGCCUUGAACUUAGUUAGUAGCUCAGGCUGCCCUCAAACUCAUGGUGAUCCUCCCACCUCAGCCUCCGGAUUGCUGAGCUCACUGCCAGCAAUGGUGUGCCCUGCCAUGCGCAGUGUGAAGGUGGUUUUGACAGUCCAAAACAGGUUUUGGAAAUAUGAUGGAAGAGACAUCUGGCAAUGCAUGUGUUAAUUCAGAAACGCAGAAAACCUAGUACUAUGUGUGCUGCAUUGUGGAACAGCAGAUGCUGCACAAAUGAAAAUGGGAGCAAAUGGCCUGAGGGGCCACGGUCACUUGCAGAGGCCCUGAGCCCUGUGGAGUGAAAGCCGAGACUUCUGACUCAGAGCCAGCGGCGCCUCUGCUGAGCCGUGGUCCAGGCACGAACCACCCCAUGCUCGGCUUCCCGUGGCGCCCAGCAGCAGGAAAAAUUCUGCAGCGCACUCCAAGGUGACCUCAAGGUAUUAUUUCCUCACACUUUUUUAUGGACUAGGAUGAAUGAACACAGUCUCUUCUGUUACCAGAACUGAGCCUGAGCGAACAGGGUGACUCUGCUUUAAAAAAUAUCGGGAGGUUGGUACCAGCUGGUGUGGAUCUGUUGUGCCCGGGUCUUUGUGCAGAGCCUCGGCUGCAGUGCAGGGGUUUGG
rnacentral:lncRNA from 1 species